rnacentral:tRNA from 1 species
GCGUGGGUAGUUUAGUGGCAGAAUACGAGCCUUCCAAGCUUGUGACCCGGGUUCGAGUCCCGGCCCGCGCA